GGAAUAUUGGACAAUGGGGGAAACCCUGAUCCAGCCAGGCCGCGUGAAUGAUGAAGGCCUUCGGGUUGUAAAGUUCUUUUGGUAGGGACGAUGAUGACGGUACCUACAGAAUAAGCUCCGGCUAACUUCGUGCCAGCAGCCGCGGUAAUACGAAGGGAGCUAGCGUUGUUCGGAAUUACUGGGCGUAAAGGGCGCGUAGGCGGCUUGGCAAGUUGGAUGUGAAAGCCCUGGGCUCAACCCGGGAAUUGCAUUCAAGACUGCCUUGCUUGAAUUCGGUAGAGGUGAGUGGAAUUCCCAGUGUAGAGGUGAAAUUCGUAGAGAUUGGGAAGAACACCAGUGGCGAAGGCGGCUCACUGGACCGACAUUGACGCUGAGGCGCGAAAGCGUGGGGAUCAAACA
rnacentral:rRNA from 1 species